CACCUUAAAAGCCAGCUUCUAAUUCAAUGACAGGAGUGGAUUAUUUUCAGUGCUUGGCAAAAGAAGAAAAAGACAGCAACCGAAAUGAAUCGAUUCCUUCAGCUUCAGAUCCUUCAGCUUGUGUUGCUGGUACAGUGUCAGGUGUUUGCUGCAUUGAUCAAGCCAGGUGGAUGCCCACGCGCACAAAAAGUACUAAACAUGUACUGCUCGGAUAAAAGGAGGACUUUGGAUCGCUUAACUGCAGACAUUGCAAACGGCAUAGAAACGUCCCAUGAUGAAAGCAUUCUUCUUCCCCAUGGAAUAUUUGACAGAGUCAGAGGGACAAGAUGGCACGGUUGUAUUUUGAAGGAAAUAAUUUUGUUUUACACAGGGGUAUUGAAAAACUACAAAGGCCACAAAACAUUCACUGACACAGUUCAAGAAGACGUAAUGCACACCAUUUAUUCACUGCAGCAAUGUUUUGAAGUGGAGAAGAUCCCCUGUGAAAAUCUAAAGAAGAUGCCAGUAAAUGAGACUCGCUGUGUGAACACAUUGACGCCACGUGAAGUGACAAAACUUCAGAUUCAGAAGCUUCAGCGUGCUAGACAUCAGGUAAACCAUACUGAUAUUCAAAUUAAUGGAUGCUCAUUGUCUAAAUGAUUGGAAAAAUCUUAAAAUAUUAAUUUUAUAGGUAAACUUAAAAAUCGUAGUAGUGCCCCAUUCUUUCAUACAAUCAAAUUGUUUAUCAAUGCAAGGACUGAAUAUUAUAAACAUGCGGAGACAUUAAAAACAUCACACAUUGGUUCGGAAAUGAAUAUUCUUUUGCCAUAUUUUCUCAGUUACAGAUUUAUAAGUGGGCACUCCAAUACAGUGCUAAAAUAUACUCGUCACACCAAAGGACAGGAAAAGGAAAUGAUCUUAAUUUAAUGUAAUUUUCCUUUUCUAUCCUAUAGAAGAAUGAUGUGAAGAUCCAAGAAAAGGCCAUUGUCGAACUUCAGGGGCUUUCUUGUUACUUCAGUGACAGGUCACACAUGGAAUUUUGCUUCACUUAAUUGUGAACAAACUUUGGCAAAAUGUGAGAACAAAAUGACAGUGAAAAAUCUCAACCUGUCACCAAGUAGGAAUGUGUAUUGAAGCUCUUUAAUGGAACACAUAAGAUAUACUUUUAAUAUAUAUACUUAUUAAAAUAAUAUCUAUUAAAACUUAUGAAAAAUACUCCAUGGAUAAUACUUAAUAAUACCUGGAGUAAUGAGAGUUGGACAAAUAUUUGAUCGGAUUCUGAGAUUUGUAUUGUGGUUGCAAACAGAUUUCGAGUGCCAGAGCUGACAGUGACCGGCCCAAAGGCUUUCUCUGUAAGAAAUCCCGUAAUCUGCAGUAAAGACUUGUGUUUUUUCUGCUUUGCAUCUCUUGCCUUUGGAACAUGUGUUUGCAAAGGCUUACAGAAGUAUUUGAGCAAAUGUGAAUUCUGCAUUUUUGGAGUUCACGGUGAUAUUUCUGUUCCUUUUUAGUAGAAUAUGAUUCGGUGUUUGUAACAUUAAGCUGUGUGUAUCAAUUUAACUUAUUAUGCUAUGUCUUAACUAGUUUAUCUGUCCUUGUCUAGAAAAAUAUAGUAAGUAGAUUUUAACAUUCAACUGUAAUAAAAAAACAUUAAUCCUCUUGAAAAGUGAGACAAAAGACAGUAUUACUGUACAUUGCUUGUAAAACGAGAAACAAGUUUGUACUGGUUACAUUAUUUUGUAUUUUCUAAUAUGCUCUUUAAUAAUGUUCGGCAUGAACUAAGCAGUAAGAGUCACAAUGUGAUUAUAUUGCAAAACUAAUUGUAAAGUAGCUUUACUUCAAAAUAGCCAAAUGAAAAAAAUAAUUUUGAUGCUAUAUCUUACAAAGAAGCACGCUUGUAAUUGCUUGUAGUAGCUAAUGUACAGUACUUUCAAUGAAAGUUAGGCUCUCAAUUUUUUCUAUGUAAUCCGUUUUCCAAUGUAACGAAUCAAACGCAAAACAUUUUUAAUGCAAAGUUUGAAUUGCAAGCUAUUUAUUUUGAGAAACUCUCAAAGGAAUGUUAACUUUAUCAGCCACGCUUGAAAUUUUGUUACAAUGCAAGUGAAGAUUAAAGCUAACUAAAAUCAAAGAAGAUAAUGUGUGUUGUUUUCUGUAGUGGGCACAAUUCAGCCCUUUUCUACGCAUCAGUUCUUUUUAAUUUAAUGGACUGUCAAACGUCAUGAAUUACAUGAACAGCUAUAUCCAUUGAGUACUGGAAAUGGUACAUUUUUCAUUAAAAAUUUCAGUCAAAGAAUGUAGCUUCAAUACAACCCACUAAAGGUCAUUAAAGGUACAUGCCAAUUUAGGUUCAGCAGCCUAAGACAAACUCCUAAUAUUUCAGUGGUUGAGGCAUCUGAGAGGUAGAUCUGGCCUUGGCCUACCUGAGGAGGACGAGGCUACUGGAACCUCUGCCCACGAAGACUGGAUGAAAUGAGUCAGACGGCCGCUCAGUAGCUGGGGAGACUGGGGGACGACGUCUGUGAAGGGGGGGCUUGUGAGCUGUAUGUGUGUGCAGGCAGGUCAACGGUCUAUUCUUGUUCUGUCUUCCUAACCAGUGUUCCAAACCUUGUUUAGUAGUUAAUUCCUAACAAGUAACAGCUAUUUUUCACUACAUGUACCUCAUGUAAAAUAUCCCCUUAAAGUUUCAAAUCAUUUCCUGCCCCCUGUGUAGACUACAGAAAAUUCAGAGCAGCCCUAGUGUUAGGAAUGAUAUCAUCACAGAUGACAGAAUCUUUGCCAAAAUCCAGCA
ensembl:lincRNA